UACGAAGGGGGCUAGCGUUGCUCGGAAUUACUGGGCGUAAAGCGCACGUAGGCGGAUUGUUAAGUCGGGGGUGAAAUCCUGGAGCUCAACUCCAGAACUGCCUUCGAUACUGGCGAUCUCGAGUUCGGGAGAGGUGAGUGGAACUGCGAGUGUAGAGGUGAAAUUCGUAGAUAUUCGCAAGAACACCAGUGGCGAAGGCGGCUCACUGGCCCGAUACUGACGCUGAGGUGCGAAAGCGUGGGGAGCAAA
rnacentral:rRNA from 1 species